AAUUAUAAAUUAUACGUAAAUAUAUUACAUCAAUCAUAUUUUGAUGUCAUCAUCAUCAGCAUCUGAGUGGCAUCAGAUAUUUAUUAACAAAAACAAACUAAUAAUAAUAAUAAUAAAAUUGAAAAAAGCAAGAAAACGAGAUUAUUAAUCCUUCAACAUGUUGGGUUGUAUUUAUCAAUUAUGGGAUUGGUUGGAGGCGCCACCGCUAUUUAAUGCGGGCACCAUGGACGCAAAAAAAUUACAGCAAUUACAACAAGCUCAACAUUUACAAAAGAAAAUACCAUUAGCGUAUCAAACGAACAUUGCUGACUAUCGUACAACAACACAUUCACCAGUCUUCCAACAGCAGCAGCAUGGCAACUAUCAUCUGGGACAUGUAGCAGCCGCCCACCAACAACAGUAUCAACAGAGUCCAACAACAACAUCAUCAUCAGGACCACUAACACCAAUCGAUAUACAACCACAUGCCAGUAAAUUACUGCUGAAGCAUCAAUUACAAAGCUCGGGGAGUGGAGGUAGUUCGGCACAUAGUUCACCAUACCACCAAGCUUCCACAUCGUCGGGUUAUCCUACUAGUAGUACUGUUGGUACUGGUGGCACAGAACAAUUGUAUCAGUCGCCAACAGAACGAACAUAUUUAGCGGCAUCUGGACGUAUUAAUUCUGCCCAUAAUCAGGCUACAAAUUUACAAUUACAAUAUCAACAGUUGCAACAGGCUAAAUUACAGGCACAAUUGGCCACACAAAAUGAGGCAGCUCAAAAUCAACAAAGGCAAUUUGCUUUGCGACAAAUGAUUAAUCCUCCUGUGCCACAGGGUCAUUAUCAUAUGAGUCAGUCAUCGAGUAUGAUGUCUACUUUAACACAACAACAGCAGCAACAACAACAACAAACUACACAAGCACAACAACAGCAGCAGCAACAACAACAAAGAGCACCUCCCUCUUCAUUGAAUUUAACAAAUCAAUUUCAGCCAGCUGCAGGACCAUUAAAAGUUACUCAACAAAAUGCCCACAAAUCAGCUCAACAUUAUCAUCAACAACAACAGCAGCAGCAACAACAACAAGAGCAAAUUUAUGGCCAACAUCAGCAUCAACAAUUACAAAUGCAAUUGCAUCAUCAGCAACAGUUGCAACAACAUCAUCAUGCUUUACAACAAAGAUCCAAAUCUGACUUGCAAACACCACAGAGCAGUGACCAGAGUCCCAUUUAUAUACAACAAAAUCAUCCUGGUCAUGUAGUCAACCAGGCAGUACAAACACAAAUUUCGACAGUGGCAAAAACUUCAAAUAAUCCUCCACAGAUGACCAAAACUCCCAGUUCAGAGGAAUCUUCAUCUGCUUCAACUAAAAGUCCUUCUCAUGCGCCAUUGGAUCGUAAAAAAUCGGGUGGAGGUUCUAUAACAAAUUCACAAGCUCUCAAAUCUCCCAUUACCAAAAGGCCACCAAAUUCUCCGGUUACCAUAGCAGGUUGGCUGUACAAACAAGGCUCUGAUGGCCUUAAAGUGUGGCGCAAGAGAUGGUUUGUAUUGGCCGAAUAUUGCCUUUACUACUACAAAGGUCCGGAGGAAGAAAAGGUAUUAGGAUCCAUACUUUUGCCCUCCUAUAAGGUAUCUGCUUGUCUGCCCGAAGAUAAAAUCUAUCGCAAAUAUGCCUUUAAGUGUGAACAUCAAAAUAUGAGAACCUAUUGGCUGGCGGCUGAAAAUGCUGAAUCUAUGGUACAAUGGGUGAGAGCUUUAAGUGCGGCCACCAUGAUGCAAGCUCCCAGCAGUGCUGGUGAAUCAUCGGAACAUCCUAGUGGUUCUUCUUCUCUUAAUCAUAGCGGCGAAAAUUCUGACUCUGGUAUUCAUACACUUCAAUCGCAGCAAAGUAAAAUGUCCGGUCAAGGACAAGUAACACCAGCCUCAGAUAAUGGUGGAGUGACAACAUCUAGUAGCAGUGGUGCGGGUGGUAGUGGACAACCGUUGUAUGCCAAUGCUCCUCCCAAACCCAGACGUAUAACAGAUGGUGGCUAUUCUUCACCUAGUCCUGAACAUUCUAUGGAUAAUGAAGGCAUGAGACAACAUCAAAUGCACCAACAACAACAUCAACAGCAGCAAUCUAGUCGUAGAUCAGGUAUAAUGUCUCCCACUUUGCAGCAAAUGCAACAGUAUCAACAACAACAGCAGCAGCAGCAACAGUCGAGAUCACAACAUCAUGCCAUAUAUGACGCCCGUACGGGUAAUGUCUCCUCAGCUAUGAGAAUACCACCACAACAACAGCAACCCAAUUAUACCAUAGAUACGUUAGAAGCCCAGUAUCAACAACAACUAACUCUCAGUAGUCCUGACGAUUAUCCCCAAUCACCUACAGCCCAAUACAUGGACUCACAAAUGGAACAGCAAAUAAUGCAAUUGCAACAGCAGCGUGUUGCCGUUGAUGACAUCUAUGGCGAACGAGAAUUAUAUAUGCAACGUCUUAUACAGCAACGUUAUCCUCCCCAUAUGUCGGCCUAUGUCUCAGCAGCCGAACGUCGGACACCCGAUGCUUAUGGUCGUUCGAAAAAUCGUAUGUUUUCGGAUUAUGAAGAUAUUUACAAUUUGACUGCUGGCGCAGGAAAUCCUUCAGCUCAGGAAGCUUUAAUGCAAGAGGCAGCAAGUUAUCGUCGGCCCUUAUCGCCACCUAGCUAUGAGGGCAAUAAAAAUGUACCUUCUGCGAUGUCGUCGCGUUAUACUCCCAAUAAUUUAGAGUCAUCACCUGGACAUAGUGCUGCUGGCAGCAAUAUAAGAGCCAGACCCGCAGCUGCCAUAGUACGUCCACAUUCGGCAGACUUUUUAGAGUAUGAAGCCAGAGCUGAAGCGGCUGCAGAUGCUGCCGCCAUAGCUGCUACAGCCUCAAUGAUUAAACCAGAUCCAGUGAGAGCACCACGACCCAAAUCCAGUCUAGACAUUAAUCGUACACCAGAUAGCUUUUAUUAUUCAGAGGAAAAUUAUGCUGAAAAAAUGCGCAAGAGUGCAUUGUAUUUACAAAAUCCCCAGGCUCAACCGCAGCAAGCGGGUACUUAUCGUACCACAAGUGGAUCUACGGACUUCCUUAGUCCCGUAGCGAGUGGUAUGAAUACAAUCGGUUAUGAGAAUCCUUAUGAAAGGACCUAUAAACGUAAUGAAUUGUUACAAGAUGCUUUAGGUAAUCAAGCAGGACAUACUAGCAUACCACGUAUGAGUCGUUCACAAACAAUGGGUAAUGGUUCACAAAUUCGUUCAUCCUCCACUCAUCCUCAUCAUUCACUAUCACCACCAUCUCAGCAACAACAACAACAACAACUGCAACAAGAGCAAUUACAAUUAGGCCAAUCGCCGGCAUACCAACAAAAACAAACGUCACAAUCGUCAUUACUUUCAUCCGGUCUCACAACUCAACAAAUUAUUCAACAAAAUGAACAGUUCCUACGUUCAGCUAGUGCUCGUUUACCUAAACGUUCAUCGACAUUUGACGAUGAACCCUCAUCAACAGCUAUUACUCCUACCACUUCUACUACAGUAACUUCUCCAUCCACAGGCACAACCUCACCUCCUGCUAUGGCUGGAGGAGCAGGUGGUUUAACACAAACAACACCCACUUCUCACCUGGAUGGCGAACGAAAACGUGAAGAGUCCAUGAAACGUUUAUUGGAAUGGAAACAGCGUAUGUUACAAUCACCUCUUACACGUAAAAGCGGUCAACAUUCUACAUCGUCUGCCUCACAGAGUGGCCAAACAAUUGGGGGCACUAGUAAUAUUUCAGCCAUGUCUAAAUUGGGCAGUAAUCCCAAUAUUCUAUUGGCCUCUACAGCUGUGGCCAGUGGAGCCCACUAUCCUAACACUGUAACAACUACAAAAGGAGGCAUCACAUCUUCAACUAGUUCGACUGGUGGCAUACAACGUAGUCGUUCUGAGACACAUGCCAACACAGGACCAACUGCUGGUUACAAUUCCUAUUCUUCGGACGAUGAAGUCUCUAUGUAUACUCUUUCGGGAUAUUUAACUUCAUCCAUAUCAGUGCGAAAUGUACGUAACUUACCUAAGGGCAAUCUGACUGUUAAACCAGAUCCCUCGGAUCCCCAAUUGCAGCGACAACUACAACAGCAACAGCAAUACAAUUAUGAUCAAAUGCAAAAAAUAGAGAACUCAUAUUAUGGUUCAGCACACGAUAUGAAAUAUGCCAAAACCACAUUGUUGACAGAUCGCAAUACAAGUGCUGCAGGCAAUGCAGCAUUAAAUGAACCAUAUGCCACCUCUACACCUUUACAUCGUACUGCCAAUAGUGCUAGUAUGGCUGGUGGUCUUAUGAAUCAGGAUUAUUAUGGAACAAGUGGUAAUAUAUAUGAAAUGCACAAUGCUUAUCAGCAGCAAUUGCACCAGCAACAACAACAACAGCAACUAUUGGCACAUCCUAUGAGACGUGUUGGCAGUCGUGCUGAAAUCGACAUGUUGGAACGUGAAACAAGUACACAAAUAAGGAAUUUAGAUGUUUCUGCUGGCGAUUUAUUAAGUCGUACUCAUGAAGAGUUGGUUUUAUUAUUGAUACAAUUGAGACGACAAAAUAGCAAUACAGCUCGAGCCAUUGAGCAAUGUUGUACUGACAUACAUGAUGUUCAGAAUCGUUUACGUACCGCUGAAGGACUAACUCGCGCCGAAAGUAUACAACGUUUAGAUUAUUUGAAACAACAUUUACUUGAUCUGGAAAGACAAUAUGAAAAGAGUAAACCUUUGGUUAAUCUAGUAGAUAAUAUGGUUAAGCUGGGUUCACUUUAUCGCAAUGAUGCCAACGGUAGAAGCCAGAGACCUGAGGCAGUCACUUUAGAUCGUUUGGAGUUUAAUCAAAGAAUACAAGAGAAACGUUUACUCCAAGAAGAGCAAAAACAAUGGGAUCGUUUAAAUCCCGAUCAUAGUGAAUUACAGUCUAAAGUCCGUCAAUUAUAUCACUUGGAUCAAUUAUUGCAAGAAGAAUCGGGAACUUUACAAAAUUUGCAACGUGACAAAGAAGAUCUUGAGAGAGCUUUGGGCGGCUUAAAGGCUCGUAUACAAGAUACUAGUGGUCCUCCUUUAGCAUUGGAAGCCGCCAAAAAACAACAAAUAAUGUUGGAACGUGAAUUGUCAAGAGUACAUCAGUUGCUGGCCGAAAAUUCUAAGGUAGACGAGAAACUUGAGCAAACAGUAGCUGGAAAUGCUCGUUUAGAACAGGAACUCUUAGUAUUACGUCAGAAACUGCAAGCAUCAAGGGGUAGUCAAAGUGCUCUACAAAUUUCCGAUACAUACACCAGCAACACCACAGCCAUGUUGGAAUCAGAACUGAAAAGAGUACAAACUCUGGUGGGCGAUAUGCAAAGACAACGACAGGAACUCAGUUCGGCCGUUAAGCAAUUGACGGAAAAUUCGAAUAGAUUGUAUCAGGAAAUUGGUAAUAAAGAACAUGGUAGCUUAAGAAAUGGUGAGACGAGCAGUAAUAAUGGCAGUAUUAGAAAGAGAAGCAAUUCUGGUUGUUGGAUAGAAACCGAUUUGGAUACUAUGAUGUGUGUUAAUCGUACUUUCAGUGAUUCGACCAUGAAUCUAUCAACGCCUCUGUAUGUGGACACUAGUUCCAACAAUACCAGUGGCAAUUUAUUAAAUUGUUCUUCGACCUCAAGUAAACUAAGUGAUUACAAUACAGGCGAUAGUAUGACCAACGAAUCACAAAGAAGAAUGGGUUCUUCGUCGUAUCGUUAUAAUGAUUCUAGCGAUAAUUUGGAGACAAGUGGUGUGGAUAGUGAUGGUUUCUUGGAAACAAACCCAUUUGCAAAUUUAACACAACAGGAGAAACAGGAAAUCAAAACAGUGCGUAUUGUUAAAAGAGAAUCUGAAAGAAGACAUCGUGAUCGCAGCGAACGUUCUGGUCUAAGUAAUUCAACACAAAAUCUUGAUCAGGUGGCGGAGGAAGAACAAUAUAGUCUUAUGAAUGGUGGCAGUGUUAUGGGAAUGGGUGGUAAUUAUCAUGUUAAAGAACAUCAAACUAAUGAAAGAUCAAAAUCAUUACCCAGAACAUACAGUGAACCACCAAAAUCAUCUUCCAGACAUCAUCACAGGCAUAAGCAUGGUAGUAGUGGUAGUGGUCAUCAUAACAGUGCAAGUACAUCCUUAUCUUCUGCUACUACCAGUUAUAAUGAUUAUUAUGGUCAUAAUGGUGCUUCUUCUAAUGCUUACGAUAAAAAUAGUAAUUAUUCUUCACAUCCUCAUCAACAGCAACAACAACAACAAACUUCUCAACAUAAUCAUCAGCAUCAAUUAACAAAUGGUCAUGGUAAUUCUCAGCCACGUGAACAUUUAAAUCCAUUAGCGAAUGCUUAUUUUGCCAAACAAAUGCAACAACAAAAGCAACAAACCUCUCAUAAUCAUCACAAUCAUUCAUCUCAUCACUCACGUCAUUCCUCUCAAAGUGCUUUGCGUCAAAAGACCGAUUCUGUGCAAAGUCUCAAUAAAAGUCUUAGCGAUUUAACACCCUCAUUUCAAAGUGAAGCCGCUAGACAAAUAAUGAAUGAAAUGUCUGCAGGAUCAGCAUCGGAAGAUACUGAAAAGGUACAGGAAAAAGUACCCUCUCAACACAAACACCGAAGAGCAGUGCCCAAAGAAAAGAGACGUCAUUUUACAGCUCCCAAUAAUGUGGUGCCAGUAAAAACCAUAGAAAAUGGUCAAACCGAAAAUGAUAUGAAUAGAAAUAACACAAAUUGGCGCGCUCGCGAUGAUUUAGAUAUGGAAGUCGCAUUACGUCCGCGUAUGAAUGCACCCGAUGUUGUACGCUCCGCUUUAAGACAUGGCGAAAAAAUAUCUGAAAAUACAAUUGAUAACUUGUUAUUGGCUCCUAAUAAAAUUGUUAUACCCGAACGUUACAUACCCGAAACGACACCUGAAUUAUCACCCGAGGAGAAAAAGAGACGUCAAGAAAAGGUUGAAUCAAUUAAAAAGAUGUUGGCUGAAGCUCCCAUAAGUGCGGCAAAUGAAACCACUGCCACACUACCACCCAGUAAAAUAAAUGAAGAAAAGAAACAGAGAGAACAUCUUUUACAAUUGAAUCAAAUUUUGGCACAACAAGUUAUGCAAAUGAGUAAAAUUGUAGCUGCUAAAAACAACAAUUGCCAUAAUUCUGCUCCUACAACAUGAUGUACAAUUGACACGCAAACGCAUGUUCACCAUUAAAUGAAAAAAACAAAGCAAACAAAAAAACAAAUAAAUAUGUAAUUACAAAUGAAAAUUAAGUCAUAUGCCAUAUACUACAUAAAAAUACAUACAAUUAUAAUAAACUACUACUCUACUACUAUUACCAACUUCUACUACUAUACCCAACUAUCAACCUACAAAAUCAAUAUUUUAAAAAUUUACCACUCUAUCAACUCAUAAUGUAUAACUACUACCUACAUACAAAGCAGAAAGUUUGGUUUGAAAGAACACAAAAAAAAAACGAAACAAAAAAAAACUGAACUUUGAAAGGUUUUUUCUAACAGCUCGCUAGAAUAGUACCAGAAAAGGCGAUGUCUAAAGUUGGUAAUGAAGCUGAUAAUAAUGACGAAUACGAUGACGAUGAUGAUGAUGAUUACGAUCAUUCACCAAAUGGCGAUAAUGAUGAGGAACGCAAAUCUGAAUCACCAAGCCAACCACUGCC
rnacentral:misc_RNA from 1 species